rnacentral:rRNA from 1 species
GAUGAACGCUGGCGGCGUGCCUAAUACAUGCAAGUCGAACGCUUUGUAAAGGAGCUUGCUUCUUUACGAGGAGUGGCGAACGGGUGAGUAAUACAUAAGCAAUCUGCCCAUCGGCCUGGGAUAACAGUUGGAAACGGCUGCUAAGACCGCAUAGGCGCGGACGGGACAUCCCGUCCACGUUAAACGUCCUUACGGGGACGGCUGAAGGAUGGGCCUGUGGCGCAUUAGCUUGUUGGCGGGGCAACGGCCCACCAAGGCGACGAUGCGUAGCCGGCCUGAGAGGGCGGACGGCCACACUGGGACUGAGACACGGCCCAG